UACGAACUGUGCAAACGUUAUUCGGAAUCACUGGGCUUACAGGGUGCGUAGGCGGCUUGUUAAGCAGGGUGUGAAAUCCCUCGGCUCAACCGAGGAAUUGCGCCCUGAACUGGCGAGCUGGAGUGGGAUAGAGGUGUACGGAACUUCCGGUGGAGCGGUGAAAUGUGUUGAUAUCGGAAGGAACGCCUGAGGCGAAAGCGGUACACUGGGUCUUAACUGACGCUGAGGCACGAAAGCCAGGGGAGCGAACGGG
rnacentral:rRNA from 1 species